AGAGUUUGAUCCUGGCUCAGAAUGAACGCUGGCGGCGUGCUUAACACAUGCAAGUCGAACGAGAAAGAGAUUGCUUGCAAUCUUGAGUAGAGUGGCGCACGGGUGAGUAACACGUAGAUAAUCUACCCCUAAGCCCGGGAUAACCAUUCGAAAGGAUGGCUAAUACCGGAUGCAGUUUCUGCGCACAGGCGCAGAGAUGAAAGACUGCCUCUUCAUGAAAGCAGUUGUUUGGGGAUGAGUUUGCGUACCAUUAGCUUGUUGGUGGGGUAAGGGCCUACCAAGGCUGUGAUGGUUAGCUGGUCUGAGAGGAUGAUCAGUCACACUGGAACUGGAACACGGUCCAGACUCCUACGGGAGGCAGCAGUGAGGAAUUUUGCGCAAUGGGGGCAACCCUGACGCAGCAACGCCGCGUGAGUGAAGAAGGCCUUUGGGUCGUAAAGCUCUGUCAACCGGGAAGAAGUUAUGCAGAAUGAAUAGUGCUGCAUAUUGACGGUACCGGUGGAGGAAGCGCCGGCUAACUCCGUGCCAGCAGCCGCGGUAACACGGGGGGCGCAAGCGUUAUUCGGAAUUAUUGGGCGUAAAGGGCGCGUAGGCGGUUCUGUCGGUCAGAUGUGAAAGCCCGGGGCUCAACCCUGGAAGUGCAUUUGAAACAGCAGAACUUGAGUACGGGAGAGGAAAGCGGAAUUCCUGGUGUAGAGGUGAAAUUCGUAGAUAUCAGGAGGAACACCGAUGGCGAAGGCAGCUUUCUGGACCGAUACUGACGCUGAGGCGCGAAGGCGUGGGUAGCGAACGGGAUUAGAUACCCCGGUAGUCCACGCAGUAAACGAUGUUCACUAGGUG
rnacentral:rRNA from 1 species